rnacentral:siRNA from 1 species
UGAGACAAGGGCCUAAUUAUAGA